rnacentral:rRNA from 1 species
CACUGCCGAGAAAAGCCUCUAGAUAGAAAAUAGGUGCCCGUACCGCAAACCGACACAGGUAGUCAAGAUGAGAAUUCUAAGGUGAGCGAGCGAACUCUCGUUAAGGAACUCGGCAAAAUGACCCCGUAACUUCGGGAGAAGGGGUGCUCUUUAGGGUUAACGCCCAGAAGAGCCGCAGUGAAUAGGCCCAAGCGACUGUUUAUCAAAAACACAGGUCUCUGCUAAACCGUAAGGUGAUGUAUAGGGGCUGACGCCUGCCCGGUGCUGGAAGGUUAAGAGGAGUGGUUAGCUUCUGCGAAGCUACGAAUCGAAGCCCCAGUAAACGGCGGCCGUAACUAUAACGGUCCUAAGGUAGCGA